UGUCCAAUGCGGGGAAUCGAACCCGGGUCGUAGUGGUCGAAAACCAAACGGUUUAACCAGCCUUCGACUGACCCCAUUUAGGC